rnacentral:rRNA from 1 species
GCUUGUCUCAAAGAUUAAGCCAUGCAUGUCUAAGUAUAAGCCUUUAUAUGGUGAGACUGCGAAUGGCUCAUUAAAUCAGAAACUGUUUAUUUGAUAGUGCCUACUACAUGGAUACCUGUAGUAAUUCUAGAGCUAAUACAUGCAAAAAGCCUGGACUUCUGGAACAGGCGUAUUUAUUAGAUAAAGCCAACGCUGGGUAAAACCAGUUUCCCUUGGUGAUUCAUAAUAAUUAAGCGGAUCGCAUGGCCUUGUGCUAGCGACAGUCCACUCGAUUUUCUGCCCUAUCAUGGUUGAGAUUGUAAGAUAGAGGCUUACAAUGCCUACAACGGGUAACGGGGAAUUAGGGUUCGAUUCCGGAGAGGGAGCCUGAGAAACGGCUACCACAUCCAAGGAAGGCAGCAGG